UGUGUCUUUAUGAUUCAUCCACAGGGAGGACAUCAAGAAGUCAAAACCAACGCAGAAAAAGGAAGCCAGAAGCCAGCUUCCUUACCCCUCACCUUCUUGCUCACCUGAAUGAUGAAUCUUUGUCCAAGAAUUGGGACAACUUUUGCCUGAAGCCUGCCCGUGUUGUUGGGUUUCAUCUAAAACAGAAACAACAAAACAAACAAAAUAAUGCCACAACACAUUUAGUUGUUCCCAGUCCAUGGGACAAAGAAUAUUAAAGUUCACUUCUACCCUGGGCCAAGGUCAGGAUUUAAAUCGAAGUUAAGUCACCUCAUUCACUCAUGCAUUGACUUCCUAAUUCUUUCACUCACUAAUUAGUAGUAAUACUAUGGAAGGUAUAAUAUUAUUAUACAACACAGUAAUAGUAAUCAUAGGAGACAUUAAUUGAGUACUUAAUGAUGUGCUGAGUUCUCUGGUAAGUCCUGUUUAGACCUUAUCUUGGUUAACCCUCCUAGUGGCUCCCCACAAGGUGAGUAUUGUCACCUCCAUUUCUCCCGGGAGGACACCUGGGGUUUGGAGGGGUUGAGCAAGCCCUCUAGAUGUCUAUUUUCUACCAUGCCUGCAGCAGUCCCUGAGGAUACAGAGAUGAAUAAAGACGCAUUCCCUGGCCUUAAGGCGCACACAGUCUGGAAGAGGGGGAAGGAUGUAGGGGCCAAUAAAUACAUUAAUGCUUUGCUAGAAAUCUGUGUGGAAUCCAAGAGCCAAUCGGAAAGUGACUUCCUUGAGACUCAGAGGACAAUCCUUUGCACAGCUUGGGGCCAAGAUCUCUGCACAGACCCCUUCUGGAAAUUACUGAGGAUUCCUAACCUUAGGCCCCUCAGGAAGUUCAAGAUGAAAAGACCUGGGGCGCCUGGGUGGCGCAGUCGUUAAGUGUCUGCCUUCAGCUCGGCGUGAUCCCGGCGUUCCAGGAUCGAGCCCCACAUCGGGCUCCUGCGCUGGAAGCCUGCUUCUUCCUCUCCCACUCCCCCUGCUUGUGUUCUCUCUU
rnacentral:lncRNA from 1 species